UAUUGGGCGUAAAGAGCUCGUAGGCGGUCUGUCGCGUCUGGUGUGAAAACUCGAGGCUCAACCUCGAGCUUGCAUCGGGUACGGGCAGACUAGAGUGCGGUAGGGGAGACUGGAAUUCCUGGUGUAGCGGUGGAAUGCGCAGAUAUCAGGAGGAACACCGAUGGCGAAGGCAGGUCUCUGGGCCGCAACUGACGCUGAGGAGCGAAAGCAUGGGGAGCGAACAGGAUUAGAUACCCUGGUAGUCCAUGCCGUAAACGUUGGGCACUAGGUGUGGGGCUCAUUCCACGAGUUCCGUGCCGCAGCAAACGCAUUAAGUGCCCCGCCUGGGGAGUACGGCCGCAAGGCUAAAACUCAAAGGAAUUGACGGGGGCCCGCACAAGCGGCGGAGCAUGCGGAUUAAUUCGAUGCAACGCGAAGAACCUUACCAAGGCUUGACAUGCACGGGAAGCCGCCAGAGAUGGUGGUCUCUUUGGACACUCGUGCACAGGUGGUGCAUGGUUGUCGUCAGCUCGUGUCGUGAGAUGUUGGGUUAAGUCCCGCAACGAGCGCAACCCUCGUCCCAUGUUGCCAGCGGGUUAUGCCGGGGACUCAUGGGAGACUGCCGGGGUCAACUCGGAGGAAGGUGGGGAUGACGUCAAAUCAUCAUGCCCCUUAUGUCUUGGGCUUCACGCAUGCUACAAUGGCCGGUACAAAGGGCUGCGAUGCCGUAAGGCGGAGCGAAUCCCAAAAAGCCGGUCUCAGUUCGGAUUGGGGUCUGCAACUCGACCCCAUGAAGUCGGAGUCGCUAGUAAUCGCAGAUCAGCAACGCUGCGGUGAAUACGUUCCCGGGCCUUGUACACACCGCCCGUCAAGUCACGAAAGUCGGUAACACCCGAAGCUCAUGGCCCAACCGGUUCGCCGGGGGGAGUGU
rnacentral:rRNA from 1 species